GGUUACAUGGUGCAGUUGGUUAUCACGUCCUGUCUAACACAGACGGUCUCCAGGUCGAGUAUAGAUGUGACCA